CCUACGGGGGGCUGCAGUGGGGAAUUUUCCGCAAUGGGCGAAAGCCUGACGGAGCAAUACCGCGUGAGGGAGGAAGGCUCUUGGGUCGUAAACCUCUUUUCUCUGGGAAGAUAAUGACGGUACCAGAGGAAUAAGCAUCGGCUAACUCCGUGCCAGCAGCCGCGGUAAUACGGAGGAUGCAAGCGUUAUCCGGAAUGAUUGGGCGUAAAGAGUCCGUAGGUGGUAUUACAAGUCUGUGGUUAAAGCGCGAAGCUCAACUUCGUAAAGGCCAUGGAAACUGUGAAACUAGAGUGAGAUAGGGGUAGAGGGAAUUCUUGGUGUAGCGGUGAAAUGCGUAGAUAUCAAGAAGAACACCGGUGGCGAAAGCGCUCUACUGGAUCUUAACUGACACUGAGGGACGAAAGCUAGGGGAGCGAAAGGGAUUAGAUACCCAAGUAGUC
rnacentral:rRNA from 1 species